CAGUGGCUAAAUUUCUAUUUGUGGAUAGAAUGCUGGCGGGAGGCAUUCUGUCAGACAGGAUUUGAAAGAGAACUUUUCAACCAUGUAAGGUGGCUCAUGGAGUCUGCUUGAUGGCUGAUUAUGACCAACAAACCAAAGGAGGGCUUAAAGAUACUUAGAAAAACCGCACAAUGGAAUGGGAUGAAGAAUUCUAGAGACAUCCUAAACCAUGGAGGUGAGCAGGAUGAAAAAUGGUUAUGCAACAUAGGCAAGACAUAGCCUGAUCUCUAUGUUAGGUGGUGUCCACAAAUGUAAUAUGCUGUUGCUAAAAAGAAUGGACAUGGAUAUUUUACUCAAAAGAGGCAAAGAGCAUUGAUUAUUAGCAAUCUGAAAGGUUGUAUGUUGGUCUUACAUCAUGUAAUGGAAAGUAACCGAAACUAAGUUAUUACUUCUCAGUUAAAAUUCUUUGUGUGUUAAAGGGAAGAAACAUUUAACAAACUCUAGAAUGUAAAAUUUCCUAUUGAAAAUUAUGUAUGCGAGUAUGUGAUAAUAUCCUUGAUUUGACUGCUCCCCCCGCCCCCCCCAAAAAAAAGAAUUCUGUGGGCCUUUUUCCAGGGGAUAAGAUCAAUAAAAAGAAAGAUUAGUAACCAUGCAAACAGAGUAUAGAGAGGUCCAUUUCUUUAUUCAUUCACUCAUACAAUCUUUUAUUCAUAGUAUAUUUACCGAGUGCCUAUAGGUGCCAGGUUCUUUUUGAUCCUGGAAAUAUGGCAGAGACCACAACAGUCCAAAUCUCUAUUUUGUCAAGAUUAUAUUCUACAUAUUACAAGUUUCAAGAGCAUGACUAGGUUAAAAUACCUCAGAUAAGUUGUUUCCUUAUUUUUCACCCUAAGUAAGGAAAGAAGUUAUUUAUAUAGGUUAGUAACCAAAUAUCAUGUCAUGCACAUAUAUAAAAUAUCGAUUCAAAAUCCUGACAGAGGGGCCAUCAGUAGUAGAUGAUAGUAGGCAUUUCAUCAAAGAAAAUCAGUAUCUCAUAAAGAUAGCAGCAGUCUAAUGUUUACUAUUAACAAUAACCACAAUGAGAAUCAAUUUA